rnacentral:rRNA from 1 species
AUGCCUCUUCCUAUUCCUUAUCAACCUUGUGAAGACAUUAGCAUGGAGUUUGUACUUGGUUUGCCUAGAACUAAAAAUGGAAAAGAUUUCGUCUUUGUUGUUGUGGACCGAUUUUCUAAGAUGGCACAUUUCAUUCCAUGCAACAAGAUAGACGAUGCUUCACAUGUUGCCACUCUCUUUUGUAGGGAAAUAUUGCGACUCCAUGGAGUACCAAAUACAAUCGUCUCGGACCGUGACAUCAAGUUCUUGAGUUACUUUUGGAAGACGUUAUGUGCCAAGCUCGGAAUCAAGCUCUUGUUCUCUUUGGCAUACCAUCCUCAAACCGACGGCCAAACGGAGGUGACGAACCAUACACUCUCCACUCUACUUUGCGUGUUGAUCAAGAGGAACAUCAAGGAGUGGGAGGAGUGUCUACCCAUCACCGAGUACGCCUACAACCGUGCAAGACAUUCGACUAUCGGCAUGUCCCCCUUCGAGGUCGUCUACAGCUUCAACCCAUUAUCCCAAUUGGACAUCCUACCUCUUCCUCUACAAGAGUGCACCAACCUCGAUGCGAGUGCACGAGCAAGCUACCUCAAGAAGAUGCAUGAAGAUACAAGGCGCACCAUCAAGUGCCAAGUACAACGACUCAUGACCAAGCUCUGCACCCCAUGA